GUGGAAUCUAAAAAAUAAAACUAAUAUAAAAAAUAGAUUCACAGAUACAGAGAACAAAUUAUUGGUUACCAGUGAUAGGAGAAAAGGGCAAGAGAGGGGUAGAGAAGCUACUAUGAAUGAAAUAAUUAAACUAUAAGGAUAUAUUAUACAACACAAGUAGAAUCAAUGUUUUAUAAUAACAAAUGGAACAUAACCUAAAAAAAUCAAUAUGUUGUGCACCUGAGACAUAUAUAAUAUUGUAGUUAUACCUCAAUUUUUAAAACCUAAUAAAAGAAUAAUAAUUUAAGACCUUAGGUUUUUCACAUUAAAUUUUAUGUUCAUGUUUGUUUAUGUGAUCUUGUAAAAUCACAUAUCAAAUGUACCUGUCAUACCUGGUAAAAUGAAAAAAAAGUUCAAAUCAUGAGAAAGUGGGUCCUUAAAGCAAUUGGAAAAAAUUAAAUCAUGUUGUAAAUGAGAAAUCAUAUUAAGUGUAAAUGGGCUAAAUGUUAUAAAUAGAUUACUAAAUAAAUGUAUGCUGUGUGUAAUAAUCAUAUUGAAAGGUUUGUUAGGUGUUGCAGUUUAAGGCCUCUUCAAGGAUAUUGAACUGAAAACCUCUGGCCAAGACAGGAAUUACCAGACCCUUAUCAAGGCCCCACCUGUCUCAUUGUAAUGCUCCUUCUCCCACCUCCAGCAAACUGGCCUACUCCUUCCUACUCCCUGCUAGGAAAGGGAGGCUUCAUUACACGGUCAAGAUGGAUUAAACCUUUGGAAACCAACAUUCAACCCUUUUUUUCCCUUGAUGGAGGAAACAGAAACGAGAGCCAAAAAUGAGUCUGAAAAAUUCCUCCUUAAUUAAUCCUUAAUUCAAGCAGAGGAUUUGAAUCUACAAAAGAAACCAAAUAUCUUUCCUGAGAUAAAGAUGAAGACCAAAAAGAAAAGGAGGAAAAGGAAGAAGAAGGAGGAGAAAGAAAUUUGAAGUAACAGAAGUUAAAAGAAGAACAUUUUGCAAAGGAGGAAAUGAUCUCUUCUGGGGUUAAUACUCUCAACAGUUUUAUUUAACAUGGCAAGUAACUGGUCAAACCAAAAUUCACCCCAAGAUAAAUUUAGAAGAAUCUCUCUCUGUGGUUAAAGACAGGACUCUCCCAUGUCUCCUGGUACAGAUGCCUCUGGAUUUUCUACUAUAUUAUAAUUAAAUUCUUAGAGUAGAUUUAAAGCUGUAUUUUGAGAAAAAUCCUAGAAGCAAUCCCAUGA
rnacentral:lncRNA from 1 species